UACGUAGGAUGCAAGCGUUGUCCGGAUUUACUGGGCGUAAAGCGCGCGCAGGCGGCACUCUAAGUACGUCGUGAAAUAUCCCGGCUCAACCGGGAGGGUGCGAUGUAGACUAGGGAGCUAGAGGUCGGUAGAGGGGGGUGGAAUUGCUGGUGUAGCGGUGAAAUGCGCAGAUAUCAGGAAGGACACCUAUGGCGAAGGCAGCUCUCUGGGACGGUACUGACGCUGAGACGCGAAAGCGUGGGGAGCGAACAGG
rnacentral:rRNA from 1 species